GAUGAACGCUGGCGGCGUGCCCAAUACAUGCAAGUCGAGCGAACAGACGAGGAGCUUGCUCCUCUGACGUUAGCGGCGGACGGGUGAGUAACACGUGGAUAACCUACCUAUAAGACUGGGAUAACUUCGGGAAACCGGAGCUAAUACCGGAUAAUAUAUUGAACCGCAUGGUUCAAUAGUUAAAGACGGUUUUGCUGUCACUUAUAGAUGGAUCCGCGCCGCAUUAGCUAGUUGGUAAGGUAACGGCUUACCAAGGCAACGAUGCGUAGCCGACCUGAGAGGGUGAUCGGACAGCCUGGAAGAGAGACUGGGCCCAGACUCCGAAGGGAGGCAGCAGUAGGGACUCUUACGGAAUGGGGGAAAGCCUGACGGAGCACCGCCGCGUGAGUCAUGAAGGUCUUCUGAUCCUAAAACUCUGUUAUUAGGGAAGAACAAAUGUGUAAGUACCUAUGCUCGUCUUGACGGUACCUAAUCAGAAAGCCACGGCUAACUACGUG
rnacentral:rRNA from 1 species